CCUAGCAGUCUCUGGUGUUUGUUUUGGGGUGAUUUGGGGCGAUUUAAAAAACUUGGGCACAACAGAAGCAAGUGGCUCCAUCUAACAGAAUGCAUCUUCCUUAGGGGUCAUUUAUCUACAUGUCCAGGAGAUAAAGGUACAGAGAGUAAAACACGUAUAUCUUCAGCGCAGGAUGAAAUUGUAGUCACGUGACCAAGCUUACCAUGGAAGAGGCCAGCCAACAGAAUUCCACGCUGCGGGACCAUGAGCAUUCUCCACUGCAGAGCGUGGGUUUUGGUCACUCCACAGCCUCAUGGUGUUCGCGACGGUGCCGGCCCGUGUUCCGUAUUUACCACAAAGGCAAACAUCGCUACCUUCUUCGUCUCCCGCGCACCUGGUUGAGUUCCACACCUGCCUGGCUGUUCUACCAGCCGCUAAGCCCCCUCGCGACGAUCACUAAAUCGUCUAUUGAAAAGA